rfam:Picea glauca, whole genome shotgun sequence.
UUAUCCCUAGAUAUCGGGGAUAACAGGCUUGAUUGUGGGAAAAACUCCACAGUUAAGCGCGCUUUAGCUAGAGGCGUCUUGGGAUGGGUGACCACCUGGGAAGUCCUGGUUACCGGGUGCA